AGACAUAACAAUGACUCUAUUGAACUGGAAGUUAAGACUGCCACUAGGCCACUUUGGGCUCCUUAUGCCUGGGUCAACAGGCCAAGGAGGGAGUUAUAGUGUUGGCUGCAUGGCUGAUCUGACUACUAAGGGGAAAUUGGACUACUGCUCAACAAUGGAGAUUCUCUCUGGACUAUUUCAUGGCUCAGGAACCACAUCCUCCUUCCCCACUUCCUGAGUGUAUGGGAUGGCCACAUAUACUGAAGCUCAAUCUUAUGAAAAGAGCAUUUCAGAGGCAGGAGGAUCUGGAUUUGAAUUCCGGCUUGAUCCUGGGCUGAACAGGACCAGUUCUGCUUUCUGCCCUGGGGCAAGUUACCCAACAUCGCUGAGCAUCUGUUUCCUUCACUAUAAAAUGAGGAUGAUGAUACCACGUGGGAUUGUUGAGAAGAUAAAAAGAGAAAGCACUUGAAAAGCUUCUAAACAUGACCUCUCACAAAGCUGUUCAAUAACUGUUAGCUCCCUUUUCUCCUCCUUGCAGCUGCUGUUUCCUGGAGUUGCAAACGUUUCUAGGUAAGCCACAGCCAGAAAGAACAAUGGGAGGCCCAGAAGCCCACCUCCAACCACUCCAACCAGAUACACCAAGGACUCUGGCUCAGACCAGAUACAGCCACCUUGGUGAUCCAGAGAGGCCUCCUGCUGGGUGCAGUGGCUCAAGCCUGUAAUCCCACCACUUUGAGAAGCUGAGGUGGGAGGAUUGCUUGAAGCCAGGAGUUCAAGACCAGCCUGGGCAACAUAGCAAGACCCCAUCUCUACAAAAGAAAAAAAGAGAGAGAGAGUGAGAGAGGCCUCCUAUCAGGAAUCAUGCUCAAGUUCCAAUUCAAUUUCAAUGAGAGAUAAGGGAGUAAACAGCAGGAAGGAGGGAGAUUCCAGAAGACCCCAAGACUGCAUUGUUGGGCUGUCAUUGUUCAUGGGAAUUACUCACCCAUGGGUCUCCAUCGGGUUUCACCCACAGGUCUGUGCACCAUGUCUUGCUCUCUAGGAACCAGAACAUCUCUAUGGUUCUUUGGAUAGAAGUACUCUAUUUCAGUGACUCUUAGAUUUUUGUUUAUUUUUAAAAAGGGAUAGUUGUGGUGAAUUGCAUUAGGAUUACUAAAAUAAAAGCAUUAAGAAACUCCCCAAAA
ensembl:lncRNA novel transcript